rnacentral:lncRNA from 1 species
GCCUGUCGCUUGGAGACGGAGUGACUCCAAACGGGCUCACACGGUUUUCUGAGAAACAUAAAGGGAAACCGAAUCCACCAAUAUAUAUAUAUAUUUUCUUGAGACGGCGUCUCGCUCUGUCACCCAGGCUGGAGUGCAGUGGCGUGAUCUCGGCUCACUGCAAACUCCGCCUCCCGGGUUGACGCCAUUCUUCUGCCUCAGCCUCCCGAGUAGCUGGGACUACAGGCGCCCGCCGCCACGCCCGGCUAAUUUUUUUGUAUUUUAGUAGAGACGGGGAGUCACCGUGUUGCCCAGGCUGGUCGCGAACUCCUGAGCUCAGGCAAUCCGCCCGCCUUGGCCUCCCAAAGUGCUAGGAUUACAGGCGUGAGCCACCGCGCCCGGCCCACCAAUACUCAAUUGGUUUGACUUCAGUUGAGGAAACCAGAAAAAAUUUAAAUAUAUUUAUGGAAAGAAGUUCUGGAGACUGGGAAGUCCAAGGUUGAGGGACACUUCUGGUAAGGACUUCCUUGCUAGCAGGACUCUCUGCAGAGCCCCAGCUAUUGGGAGAGUGGCUGAGUACUGAGUCUAUCACUACUUGGAUGAUACAGCUUCUGUCUUCAAGAUAAGCAGAAUUGUUCAGAAUCCACUGGAAUCCAAAUUCAACUUGGGCCUCAAUUUCUGCAGAUGGACACCUCUGGACUCCAAAAAAUCCAAGGACAUAAAAAACUUAAGCAGCCUUUAUUACAUUUAGUUCAACAAGUUUAAAGUAGUCUAAAACCAGCCUCUGCCUGAUCAAACUAGAAGGCCAGAAACAGAGGGCAGCUGAAGGAAACAGCUCACUCAAGAUGCCAACCAGGCCUCUGUUCAUGCCAUCAUGGAUAAGAUCUAUUUUUGAGGGUCUAAUUAAGUUAAGAACUAUAAUUGUAUGUAUGUUGGGAUUCCUUUUCCUUCUUGUCAAGGUACAGAUGGAGCAGAGCUAUCUUGUAUGUCAGUAGCCCCACUCAUGCAUUCUUUGUACUCAGACCUGCGUGACUUGAAAGCAUGAAGUAGCUAGAAUGGUCAUCACCCCACUUCCCUCAAGAUUGAGGAGUGCACAAAAAGGGGGGUACCUGUAACUGUGGGACCAGCUCAAACAAAUUAACCAUUUCUUAAGUUGUUGCAGGUACACACACAGCCAAAAUUGCCUUGGCACAUGCAAUGCAAAAAGCUUUAAUUUCUAAUUGUUAUCAUCACCAGCCUGACAGGCCUGCAUUGGCAUCAUCUGGGUCUAGCUGGAAAUGCCAUAAAAUCUUGACCCACCCCAAUCACAGAGACAGAUCUGAGCAUUGCCUCUUGUCUCCUUGCCAGUUGACUUGGUAUAAAGCUUUUUUUUUUUCUUCCUCAAAAGAGGGAACCAUAAUGUUGGCUUCUGUGCAUGUUGUAAAGUAAGCCUAUUGCUCAGUAACAAAUAUAUCUUUCCAUUUUUUCUUUUUUCUUUUUUUUUUUGAGAUGGAGUCUCGCUCUGUCACCCACGCUGGAGUACAGUGGCGCAAUCUCGGCUCACUGCAAGCUCUGCCUCCCGGGUUCACGCCAUUCUCCUGCCUCAGCCUCCCAAGUAGCUGGGACUAUAGGCGCCCGCCACCACUGCCAGCUAAUUUUUUGUAUUUUUAGUAGAGAUGGGGUUUCACCAUGUUAGCCAGGAUGGUCUCGAUCUCAUGACCUCGUGAUCCACCUGCUUCAGCCUCCCAAUGUUAGCCAGGAUGGUCUCGAUCUCAUGACCUCGUGAUCUACCUGCUUCGGCCUCCCAAAGUGCUGGGAUUACAGGCGUGAGCCACCAUGCCCG